rnacentral:rRNA from 1 species
AAUCAACGCUGGCGGCGUGCCUAACACAUGCAAGUCGCGCGCGGAAAGGGGGCAACUCCCAAGUAGAGCGGCGAACGGGUGAGUAACGCGUGGGUGAUCUGCCUCCGAGUGGGGAACAACAGCGGGAAACUGCUGCUAAUACCGCAUGACAUCAUCGGGUCACAUCGAUGAUCAAAGGCCGGGGACCGCAAGGCCUGGCGCUUGGAGAGGAGCCCGCGUUCGAUUAGCUAGUUGGCGGGGUAAUGGCCCACCAAGGCGACGAUCGAUAGCCGGCCUGA